rnacentral:rRNA from 1 species
CUACGGGUGGCUGCAGUCGAGGAAAUUUUUCAAUGCCCGCAAGGGUGAACGAGUAAGCCAGAGUGUUUUCUUUACGAAAACUUUUGUCUGUUGUAAAAAGACAGACGAAUAAGGACUGGGCAAGACCGGUGCCAGCCGCCGCGGUAAUCCCGGCGGUCCAAGUCGCAUCCACAUUUAUUGGGUCUAAAACAUCCGUAGCUUGUUUUGUAAGUCUCUUGUGAAAUUUUAUAUCUCAAAUAUAAAGCGUGCAAGAGAUACUACAUUGCUAGAGACCGGAAGACGCAAAGAGUACGACGGCGGUAGCGGUAAAAUGUGUUAAUCUCUGCCGGACUAACAAUGGCGAAGGCACUUUGCGAGUACGGAUCUGACAGUGAGGGAUGAAGGCUAGGGGCGCAAAAGGGAUUAGAUACCCCGGUAGUC